rfam:Candidatus Paracaedibacter acanthamoebae isolate PRA3, complete genome.
CCACCUGUACCACCAGGUGAACCUAAGGACAUGAAUAAAGAGCUGUCCUGACAAUGUAGCGAAGCAUAACAAUGCAGGAUAGGAAUCGUGAGAGAAAUAUCCUCCUGAGAGCCGAACUUGGGAUAGUGC